rnacentral:rRNA from 1 species
GACGUAGGGCGCGAGCGUUGUCCGGAUUUAUUGGGCGUAAAGAGCUCGUAGGCGGCUUGUUGCGUCGACCGUGAAAACCCGUGGCUUAACUGCGGGCUUGCGGUCGAUACGGGCGGGCUGGAGUUCGGUAGGGGAGACUGGAAUUCCUGGUGUAGCGGUGAAUGCGCAGAUAUCAGGAGGAACACCGGUGGCGAAGGCGGGUCUCUGGGCCGAUACUGACGCUGAGGAGCGAAAGCGUGGGGAGCGAACAGG